UCUUAAGCCCUAGUCUUUCGACAGCCGCCGGCGCCGCCGCAUCAAGGAUUUCCAAUCUCCAUCCUGUAGUUUGAGUACGGAUCCCAGACUGCUGACUUGAACCUCGCCGGAGUCACCUGACGCAUAUUCUGAAGACAAGGCCGGACUAGGUAUUAAAAUCAGCGACAUGCAUGGGAAGCGGGCAUAGAAACACCACGUCACUUUAUCACCUCACAUGUUCCCAUAUAAUAUUUAGAGAGCACCUAUACAUAGCAUCCAUAAAUUAUUAGUUGUUUCGGUACUAUCUACUUGAAUCUUUUGAAAUUAUUACAUAAUGCGAGCCUUUGGUCGCUCCGAUCAUUGUACUUUAUGUCUUCUAGUUAUGUUAUGAACUAUAUUGAUUGUAUUUGAUAAACAUCCUUUAUUUGCCUGUCGUGGUUGUCCAAAGAAACAAAGUAGGUGCUGCCUGAUUUUAGAAUUCUU